AUUGAACGCUGGCGGCAUGCUUUACACAUGCAAGUCGAACGGCAGCACGGGCUUCGGCCUGGUGGCGAGUGGCGAACGGGUGAGUAAUGCGUCGGAACGUGCCGAGUAAUGGGGGAUAACGCAUCGAAAGGUGUGCUAAUACCGCAUACGCUCUGAGGAGGAAAGCGGGGGACCUUCGGGCCUCGCGUUAUUCGAGCGGCCGACGUCUGAUUAGCUAAUUGGUGGGGUAAAGGCUCACCAAGGCGACGAUC
rnacentral:rRNA from 1 species